GAAUCAGAUAAUCUUUUUCCUACUGCAGAACCAGAGCUUUCUGGCAAGAAAGACUUCAGUCGAUCCUGAGAAUAAACAAUGACCAGGGUGCAUUUAAAACCCAUAGCAGGUGUGCUUGUAGGAAAUCCGUCCGAAGAUGUUCAAAGAGGACCUGAAUCUGGGGCUUUUGCCCAUGUUCAGCCUAUGCAGUUUUAGCAGGGUUAUACAGGUAACAUGAAACAUGCACCAGAGACACCACCAGCAAUUUUAGGGGUUUCCCUACUGUGAUGGUUAAUUCUAUGUGUCGGGUUCACCAGGCUGAGGGAUGCCCAGAGCGCUGGUAAAACGUUAUUUCUGGGUGUGUCUGUGAGGGUGUCUCUGGAAGACAGUAGCGUUUGGAUCAGCAGACUGAAUAAAGCUGACGGCCUCACCAGUUUGGGUCAAAUCACCUGAGGGCUGGAAUAGAACAGAGAGGCUGAGGAAGGUGAAUUCUUUCUCCUCUUCCCUUAGAUAUCAGAGUUCCUGGCUUGGGGCCUUCAGACUCAGACUGAAUUAUAUUACUGGCUGUCCUGUUUCUCCAGCUUGUGGAUAGCAGAUCCUGGGACUUGGUGGCCUUCAUAAGCAUGUGAUGUUCACUUCGGUCACUUGAUUAAGAUGUUGUAUGCGAGGUUUCCGCACUGUAAGGUGAGUAUUUUCCCUUUGUAAUUAGUAAGCAUCUUGUAAGGAGAUACUCUGAGACUCCGCAAAUAUCCUGUUUCUUGUAUUUCUUUGCCUACUGAUUUACCAUCCAUUGAUGUGUCGACACAAAUAAUUCAUAGUCAAUCUAUAGAUCAGAAUUGGGGUGAGUUUAUUACGAGCCAGGUCUCCUUUAUCCAACCACUCCCCGUGGAUGGCCGUGAGCAUCUAGGCAGCUUCUAAUAGUUUGCAAUUACAGACAAUGCUGCAAUGAAUAACAUUGUGCAUAUUCAUUCUGUAUUCUUGGAGAUUUAUCUUCAGAGUAGAUUCCUGAAAGUGAGAUUGCUGAGGCAAAAGUUUAACGCAUAUAAGUUUUUAAGUAUUGUCAAGUUCCUUCCUGAAGGGUUGUACCUAUCUUCGUCCCCCCAGCAGUGUGUGGGGGUGUUUCCCGCAGCCUUGCUAGCAGAAUGCUCGCGCUCUCUAGUCUGCCAGUCUGAUAGGUAAGAAAUGGUGUCUCAGUGUCGUUUUAAUUUACAUUUCUCUAACUACAACAUUUUGAAAAAUAUAUUUAAGGGCCAUUUAAUAUUUUGGGGGUGAAUUGUUUCUUCUUUGCCCCCUUUUACGGGGUUUGUGGCCCUUUCUCCUGUGGUUCCCCAGAGCUCCUUACCUGUUGGUGUGUCUGCUGCGCAUACUGUCCCAGUUUACCGGUUGUCUUUGCCUUUGUUUAUGGGGUUUUGCCGUGCGUCCUGUUUGUUUUAUGUGGGCAGAUGAUCGGUCUUUUCUUUUGUUGCCUCUGUACUUUAACUCGUCGUGUCUACACUGAGAUUGAAGAGGAAUUUACUCUUAUUUUCCUCUAGUUCUUGUAUAGUUUUGUUUUUGCACUUAGCUAUCUGAUACAUGGAUUUAUUCCUUUGUGUGACAUGAAAUGCAGAUCUAAUUUUACGUUUUUUUCCAAGUGGCUGCCCAGUUGUCCUGGCACCACUUAAGAAAAGUCCAUCUUUGCCCCAGGGAGUUGAGACGUCACUUUUAUCAGGUACUAAAUCGCAUGAAGUCACCUUUAAAAAUCCAUCUUUGCUCUCGUUGUGCUUGGUCAUGGUGUGGUUGGUCUCAUGCUGUCUGUUCAUUGCCUGAGGGCCCAGAUUCAUGCUUGUUCUUCUGAAAGAAUAACUACCGCACCAAUAAUCUUGAAAGCCAGAGGAACUCACCUUCUGGCCGUGUAUGUAUGAAACGCUGUCACCCGAACUGAACCCACAGCUCUGAGACGCUGCCCCUCGGGAAGACACUGCGGUGUCUGUCUGCUCUGGACGAAGCUUCCUCCGUGAGUCUCGGGCUGCUCUGGAAGCACUGUGUGGAAAGCUUGAGCAUCGGCCUCCUGAGCACCGGCUCUGACAAGGGUCCUUGUUGGUUCCUUGAAUGUUUCCUGAGUUCAGCCGCUGGAUCCAGUUGGCAAUCUGUGAUGCUGUGAUUACUGCCAGAGCAGAGUCAUCAGAAUUGUGAGGCAGGUUAACUUUCAUGGGCACCUACGCCCCGAGUACAGAGUUGCCAGGUGACAAUGAGAUCCCAUUAAAAUCUGGAAUCUGGGAACUGUGUCCAGAUGCUGUCCUUCCAGAAAGACUUCACACUGAUGUGAGGAGGAGCCGUCCUGCAGAGUCCUCCCGUCUUCGCAGCAAACAGGGAGCUGUCUGGAGGAGUAGAACAUGGGGCUGAUGCAACAUGGGCCUUUUUGAAGGGUCUGCGGGUCUGGCUUUGCUUACAGAGACCGCACAUUCUGGGGCUUCAGGUUUCAGAGCACGUGGAAAGUGACAGAAAGCCAGAAGAGUUUUAAUUUCUUGUCUUCAUUUUUCCCUUUUAUUUGAAUACUGACUCAUUUUAAAGUGGAGGAGAAACAUGUAGUGAAAAAUGAAACUGUGGCUUCUCUUACAGUGACUUUUUCUUUUACAGACAUGUUAUUCAUGCGCCUUACCUCCAGGGGGAGCAAGAGGGUUAUGGUUAAGUAGCAAGAAUUCCUGAAGACACAUUCUCCGCUCCACCCCCCCCACCCCGUCCCCUCCUCGCCCCUCCCCUCCCCUCCUCUCUCUUUCACCCUUCCUAUAUAAACAGUAGAUUUUGAAGAAUCACAUGCUCUUCACCAUUUUCCAUUUCCCUGGUUUCUUGAGGUGACAUCUGCAUAGGUCUCCAGAAGCCCUCGGAGGCUCCUCUGUCUUCUGGUCGUCAGCCUGCCUUCCCUUCUGGUGCAGGAGGUGCCCGCUCUUUCAGAAGCUGACUCUGAAGGAGCCCAGAGGGACGUCUGUUUC
ensembl:lncRNA